GACGAACGCUGGCGGCGUGCUUAACACAUGCAAGUCGAGCGGAUGGUCCCGGUUUUUGUGGGGUGCGCGUGUGGCGAGCGGGUGUGAAACACGCGAGUAAACUCUCCUUGACUUUGGGAUAUCAUCAGGAAACUGGGGCUAAUACCGCAGAGGAUCUUCUGCUGCAUGGUGGGGGAUGGAUAGUGUCGGCGGUUGGGGCUGGACUCGCUGCUUAUUCGCUUGUUGGGCGGGUAGUGGUUUAACAAGGUUGUGACGGGUCGCCUGCCUGAGAGAGUGACCGGCCACAUUGCGACUGAGACACGGACCAGACUCCUACGGGAGGAAGCAGUGGGGAAUAUUGGACAAGGGGCGGAGUCCUGAGGCAGCAACGCCGCGUGCGGGAUGACGGCUUUCGGGUCGGAAACCGCUUUCGCCUGUGACGAAGCGUGAGUGACGGUGAUGGGGAAAGAAGCACCGGCUAAUUACGU
rnacentral:rRNA from 1 species